rnacentral:misc_RNA from 1 species
AUCAGUUUUCAUUCAAACCUAUUUACUGACUCACUUGGCGACCAAGAAAGACAAUCAAUCCUCCUAAGAAAUAUACAUAAAUCCAUAUGAAACCAUAAAAAGCUAACAAGGUUAUAUGGAAUAAGCAUUAGUUACAAAAAUAUUGCCACAUGUACCUCAUUGAGAAGGAAAGAAUUAAUGAAUCAUCUGAAACAUGUAAGAUAUCUUCUACAAUGCCAAUCUUUAGCAUACGGUUAUACAAUUUCUUAAGCAUAAACCUGUGGUUUUAUUGAUCUCCUGUAUCUCCACCUUCAGCUCCAAAAUCUGAGAGAUUUAUCGUUGGAAUGCUGCCAUUGGCUACAAGACUUUUAACACUAGAGGAAGUUCUAGCAUCUUCAGACAACUUAUGUAUUGCAUCUCUUAAAAUUAUGUAGUUCUUAUCAAGCAGAUCUGGACAGUGUCCCUUGUCAACCAUCUCUUUUAAUAUCUCAAAAGCCAGAGGGAACUUUAAGUCAGCAAGAAAAGCACUUAUUAAGCCUAUAUAAACAAAAGAGUCAGGUUCCAUUUCUUUCUCUUCCAUUUCACGUAAAUGAGCCAGAGCUGCAUUCGGCCAACCACACUUGCAAAGACCAUGAAUAAAAGCCAUGAAAGCAACUCUAUUAGGAGUGCAACCAUUUCUCCUCAUUUCAGUCCAUAGCAUUAUAGCAUCAUCAGGUCUUCCAGCAUUACAUAGCCCAUCUAUUAAAGUAGUGUAUGUAAUGACAUUAGGUUCCCUUUCUUUUGCAGACAUACUGGAAAGACAAUGCAGGGCCUCAUCAAUACAACCACUCUUGCACCAACCAUCUAUAAGCAAGUUAUAUGUGACAACAGAAGGGACAAGACCCUUCAUCACCAUCUCUUCGAAAAUAUUCUGAGCUUCUGUAAUUCUUUGAGCCUUAGAGAGCCCGCUUAUUAGUAUGUUGUAAGCAACCACAUCAGGGCAAUGCCCACGAGCACAAAUGUCACGGAACAGCUUCAGCGCUUGAUCGACUUCUUGAAUUUCAAUCAAACCACGUAAUGAUGCAGAAUAGGCAACUAUAUCAGGUAGAAAGCCUUCUUGAAUCAUAUCAGCAAGAAAUUUGCAGGCUUGUGUUGCCUUCCCAUUUUUGCACAUUUUUCUUACUAGCAAGGUAUAAUGUUUGAUCCAAGGCUGGUGGCCGUGAAUGCGCAUCUUUUUUACCAAAUCAAGGGCUCCAGAAGCAUCCCCUCUCCUGCAAAGGCACCCAAAUAUAGCAUUGUGAGUAAAUUGUGUUGGUCCAAUUCCUGACUCUUUCAUUUCUCUCAAAAGCUCAUAACUUUGCUCCAAUCUAUCAGAAUUGCAUAGCCCAUCAAUUAAGUUAUUAUAAAUAAUUAAAUUACGACUGCAACCAAUUUGAGCCAUCUCUCGAAAGAGGUAAAGGGCCAAAUCCAACUUGCCAGCUGGGAUCAAACCAUCAAUGACAAUAGUAAAACUAGCUGUAUUAGGGGCAACCAUUUUUUUAUCCCGGAAAAGCCUAUGUAACUCAACAUUAUCAAUGCACUCUUUUCCCAUCAUAACCUGAAGAAGACAAUAAGCUUUAUCUAGCAAGCCAUUAUUAACGAGUGAAUUCAACCAAGAAUUGCAAAGCAAAGUCAGACCUUCUACAUCCAUAUCCUCAUGGAUUGCAUCAAGUAUGCGGAUUAAUUCUCCUUCUUCAGAAAAAAAAGAUAAGAGCUUAGUAACUAUUCCAACAUCAGGUUGGAUUUUGAACAACUUCAUUUCUGAAUAUAACGCCAAAGCUUUAUCAAGAUCCUUACUUCUGCAGAGCCCUCCAAUUAGCACAUCAAAAAGUGCUAUAUCAGGAGUGAAACCAUACUUCUGCAUGUUAUAAAACAACUGGAGGGCUUUAUCCACUCUGGAUUGUUUUACAAAUCCAUGAAUCAAAAUGCACAAUGUUUUCUCAUUCAAUCUAACAUUUUGAUCUUCCAUUUUUUCUAUUAAUUCAAACGCCUUGUCCACCUCACUACACUUGCUAAAAGACAGCACCAAAAUAGACAAUAGGUGUUCAUCCAGCCAACCGCAAUCACAAAUUUUAUUAAAGACACCCAAAGCCUCAUUAAAUUUCCCCGCAUUAGAAUAUACCUGCAACAUUGGCGUCAAAGUGUACUUAUCAAACUCCCAACCUUGAUAAUGCAUCUCUUUGAGUCUCUUCUCAACCAAACUAACAGAAGUAGACGUAGACUUAGAUCUAGAGAUGGCCUCUAACAAACAAUUAUAGCUAUAACUAUUCGGCACACAAAGACCCAUCCUUUUUACUUGAUCAAACAACACAUUAGCUUCAUCAACCAACCCCACACUACCCAAACAUCUAAUAAAGAAACCAAGAGCACCAGGACUCAUUGAACAACGAGAAUUCAGGAUAGCAAGAGAUAAAGCUUUCAGCGGGGCAUUUUCUCGAGCAUGUGAUAGGAUUGAGGCCAUGGUAUUGUACGUAUACAUAUUAUGCUCAUAUCCAUAUUGGAUUGAGGCCCAAUUGAAGAAAGUGUAAGCUAUUCUCCAGCUUUUGAAAGCAUUCAACACUGAUUCAACGACUUUGGUAUUUAGCAUUGGAGCUAGACUCUUCAACUCUGGGCUGUCUGGGCAAAAUGGCUGUUUGGUGAAGAUGGAGAUGAUGUAGUUGGUAGUGCUGGUGAGGUCUGAGGGAUCGGUGGAGAGAUUUCUGAUGGGAACAGUAUUUGGAUUAACGGGUUUAAUUGAUUUGCAUAGGCAAUGAGAGUAUUUCGUUAUUCUUGACAGUGCCAUGAUAACUUAAUUGUUGCAGCGGAUACUUCCAACUUGGGAACAG